AAGCCCGGGAAACUGGGUNUAAUACCGGAUAUGACCGCUGGAGGCAUCUUCAGUGGUGGAAAGUUCCGGCGGUGCAGGAUGAACCCGCGGCCUAUCAGCUUGUUGGUGGGGUAACUGCCUACCAAGGCGACGACGGGUAGCCGGCCUGAGAGGGCGACCGGCCACACUGGGACUGAGACACGGCCCAGACUCCUACGGGAGGCAGCAGUGGGGAAUAUUGCGCAAUGGGCGAAAGCCUGACGCAGCGACGCCGCGUGAGGGAUGACGGCCUUCGGGUUGUAAACCUCUUUCGCCAGGGACGAAGCGAGAGUGACGGUAACCUGGAGAAGAAGCA
rnacentral:rRNA from 1 species